GGCUUGUGGGGAGGAGGAAGGGGGGGUGUCCCAGGGAAGAAGGCCCAAUCCUCUGCCAGCUAGGGAAGCCAAGGCCCCAGAGGUCAUGGGGCCCGGGACACAGGGGCAGCCUCCAGGAUCUAGAAGUGGCAGAAAGCUCCUCCCCCAGCGAACUCCAGCUCCUGUCCCUCUACCCCUCCUUCUGACAUCACUGACUAGUGGAGGUCUGUGACCCUGAGCUCUUUCUUAUCUGGAUGGGUCUCCCUGUCUCUCCUCUCUCCUGAGCCUCUGGGGCUCUGGCCGCUGGAGUCCUGGAUGACUCUGUGUCCUCUAUCUGGAUAAGGCCCUUGCUCCCUUCCCUUCCAGAGGAGCUGCUCGCUGCUGCGCUGACCUACUUUGGAAGACUGCUUUUUCUGAUUCCAAGAAUUUGGGGAUGGGAGGGGCCGUGAAACUUUUGGCUGCCAAUCCUUGCACCCCUCUCUCCUCAGGUCCUCUUAAGUGUUUCAGAGCAGCAGGACAAGCACUGCUCCAUCUGGUUUGAGCAACUCAGUUUCUGUUUUCAGUGUGUGUGUGGGGUGGGGGUGUAGGGUGGGAAUCUGUGUUAUAAAUUAGUGGACUCAUUAGUGGACUCUUGUUUCCCCCAUUUCUUCCCAUGGGAACUAUCUUUACUUUUAGAAAGGAAGUUGGAGGGGGGUGCUUUCAGAAUCAGAUUCUGUGAGAUGGUAGCAUCCCUUAGUGGAACAGGAGACUGCCUCCCUUUAUUGGGUGGCCAGUGGGGAAGGCAGAGAGCUAAGAAAAAGUGACCUAAGAAAAGGCUCAUUAAAAAGCCAGGCACUGAGGACAACUCUGCUGGAUCAGCCGAGGAGAGGGACGGAGUCAGUAAUGGGUUCUUAGAUGCCCUAUCACACACCCUCUUGGCCAUGUCUGGCCCGGAAGGGGUCAUUCUUUAGAUCUGUCAGUCCUGCCCUGACUUUGUCUUUUUGAAGGUAGCUGUUGACAUCCAGAGUGGUGUGGGUUUCUCUUCUGAUUCGGAAACCGUCUGUGCUGGGCCCACUUCUCAAACAGGCCGUGCUGACCCACCUUAAGCAAGUAAGGCUUGGUUCCAUAACAUGGUGAAGCAAAUAGCUUCAGAACUUUCCUGCUAGCAUCCAGCGCUCUCCGGAGGUGCAAUGAGAAGAGCCCUCGGGCCAUUUCCCCAGGAUCCUUCACAGCUUCCCAUUUGCCUUCCUUACGUCAGGGAUUGGAUUCUGUCCAUCUGACAGUCAACACCCAGCACUAACCAGGUCCUCGGUGUUCUUGUUGCUCAACAGUGAAUAAACCUGACUGAACUGGAGGUAGCAGAAAUGGCUGGUUCCUCGGAAGGGCCUCCUUCAGGAUGAAGAAACUAAGGAAGAAGGCCAAACAAAUUACUUCCUGAGUCUUCUGGAUCAGCAUCUGAGGAUCCAAGCCCAGCGUUUAAGGAACAACUCUUUGCGGUCACUAUUGUUCAGCUGUAUAUGCUUGGAGGGGUAGAGAAAAUAGAAUGGAGAAGUUCCAUGUGAACUAUAGUAA
rnacentral:sRNA from 1 species